UACAGAGGUCUCAAGCGUUGUUCGGAUUCAUUGGGCGUAAAGGGUGCGUAGGUGGCGCCAUAAGUCAGGUGUGAAAUCUCGGGGCUCAACCCCGAAACUGCACUUGAUACUGCGGUGCUCGAGUACUGGAGAGGAGAUUGGAAUUUACGGUGUAGCAGUGAAAUGCGUAGAUAUCGUAAGGGAAGACCAGUGGCGAAGGCGAAAUCUCUGGACA
rnacentral:rRNA from 1 species